GCGGAUGAGGGAGCUUGCUCCUGGAUUCAGCGGCGGACGGGUGAGUAUGCCUAGGAAUCUGCCUGGUAGUGGGGGAUAACGUCCGGAAACGGGCGCUAAUACCGCAUACGUCCUGAGGGAGAAAGUGGGGGAUCUUCGGACCUCACGCUAUCAGAUGAGCCUAGGUCGGAUUAGCUAGUUGGUGGGGUAAAGGCCUACCAAGGCGACGAUCCGUAACUGGUCUGAGAGGAUGAUCAGUCACACUGGAACUGAGACACGGUCCAGACUCCUACGGGAGGCAGCAGUGGGGAAUAUUGGACAAUGGGCGAAAGCCUGAUCCAGCCAUGCCGCGUGUGUGAAGAAGGUCUUCGGAUUGUAAAGCACUUUAAGUUGGGAGGAAGGGCAGUAAGUUAAUACCUUGCUGUUUUGACGUUACCAACAGAAUAAGCACCGGGCUAACUUCGUGCCAGCAGCCGCGGUAAUACGAAGGGUGCAAGCGUUAAUCGGAAUUACUGGGCGUAAAGCGCGCGUA
rnacentral:rRNA from 1 species